rnacentral:rRNA from 1 species
AUUGAACGCUGGCGGCAGGCUUAACACAUGCAAGUCGAGCGGAGAUGAGGUGCUUGCACCUUAUCUUAGCGGCGGACGGGUGAGUAAUGCUUAGGAAUCUGCCUAUUAGUGGGGGACAACAUUCCGAAAGGAAUGCUAAUACCGCAUACGCCCUACGAGGGAAAGCAGGGGAUCUUCGGACCUUGCGCUUAUAGAUGAGCCUAAGUCAGAUUAGCUAGUUGGUGGGGUAAAGGCCUACCAAGGCGACGAUCUGUAGCGGGUCUGAGAGGAUGAUCCGCCACACUGGGACUGAGACACGGCCCAGACUCCUACGGGAGGCAGCAGUGGGGAAUAUUGGACAAUGGGCGAAAGCCUGAUCCAGCCAUGCCGCGUGUGUGAAGAAGGCCUUUUGGUUGUAAAGCACUUUAAGCGAGGAGGAGGCUACUUAGAUUAAUACUCUAGGAUAGUGGACGUUACUCGCAGAAUAAGCACCGGCUAACUCUGUGCCAGCCGCCGCCGUAACAC